ACUUCCACGCUGUCCUCCGAGGCGCUCGGCGAGUGCAGGCCAGACAUGUCGUCCUCGUCGCCUCCGCUGCAGAAGCCUGCAUCCCUGUCGGAUCCAGCCAUGACACCGGCUGAAACGGAAACAAAAACAAUCGUGCGUGAAAAACAAAAACACCUGUCGUUUCCUGACUAUUAAGCGGCGAGGAAGCCAGACGUAUCACGAGUAGUAGGAACAGUGUACGCGACGGUGCUAUUUUUGAUGUGAUUCCGUGGUCGAGAUGAUUUCGUUUCGCUUCGUCUCGCCUCGUAUCGCCGAGGAGACAGGAUGUUUUCAGGUUCGGUGCGUCAUCCGACUGGUACCAUCUGGCGCACAGGUAUCGACAGAUGAGUUCUUAUUGGAGUGGCCAGCACGCGACGCACCCGUCGCGUUCCAGUUCCUCGAUCGCGAUCGAAGAGAGAGGAGAGGAACGUUUAUCCGUUGACCUGUAGUCAGUCGUCGCGUCGCAUCGCGCAGCGUGCGUUGUCUUGGAAGUAUUCGGAUAACCAAUGAGUUGGAACACGGGAGUUACAUCAGCAUCGAUGGGGAAAAAUGAAGACACGAGGUGGAUGACGACAGGAGCACGUGCUGACGUUGAGAACCGUUAUCGAACGAAUAACGCAACGGAUGUGGUUUAUCUUUUAUUUAUUAUUCGAAAAUCUUAUAAAGACAAGAAUUUUGCUCGUAUCUGCUCAUAGACGACGUAGUCGGUCCACGGAAACUGUCAACACCGUUCACUUCCCUCGUCGAGCGUCCUUACGCUCCAGAAAUAGUCGAAUGUAGCAUUUGUGGAUUCAACAGUCUCGAAAUAAGAAGGAGAAGGAACCGCGGCCAACUUUCGCGGUGAUUAUAAAUAAACGACGUCGACCGGCGCGGGAACGAGAAAAAGGGGAGGAGGACCAACGAGUCGCAUUCGGAGACGCGUAGACGCAUACAGCGGAUGCCGAUCUCUCUCCCUCUGCCUCUUUCUAUCUCGGAAUCAAAAGAAACAUCGGCGCCAAGAGGCACGGCGUAUCGAUCGCUGCGGUACUCCUGGGAAGUCUAGUAACCGGAAGUAUGCGAUACGAAGGCGUAACUUCUGACAAGUUAUCGCUUUUGUGUAAAGAAAUAAACAAUAAAUAGUCCGCUAUCUUUUCUAAGGCGUAGCUGCAUCUUUCAAAUAUCUUCUAGAUUAAAGUAGUUCAGAAACUAAUAGUAAAUGUAUGAUCGACUACUAAUCCUACUGAUUUUUCUAAAUUAUUUAAAUCUUUCGAGCACUUAGUAUGCAUAGUACUGCAAGUAGAAAAAGACCCGCGGAGGCGUAUGGGGUCAGACGUUACGCUCAGGCGCUAUAGGCAAAAUUACUCACCGCUGUAACGCACAUUCUACUCCGUUGCAACACCGUAUUCCUCUUAAUCCGGGACUGUUCGUUCUUUUUUACUCGAGUGAUCUUAUCUUUCUGGCGAUCUAGUUUUACAAAUGAUAAAUCGCGGAUCGUAAAUUUAACGAUUGGUACUCUAAAAAGAUUAUCGUGCAUUCAAGUGUUUCGUGAGAAUUCUAUUUGUGUCCCCUGAUUUCUAUUUAUCUAUUAACGAUAGUAGAUAAAACAAUACGAUCAAUAUGGUACAAUAUUUUGUACAAUACAAAAAAGAACAAUCGUAGCUAAAAAGUAACAGUUGGGCAAUUUUAGUACGGAAAUUAGGUAUCUUCUUCUUCGAUACAUUAUCAUUCCGUAACCAAUCGUUCGUAUUACGCAUGAUUACGCCACAUGUGUGUCACGCGUGACUUGCAACUUUUUUUUUU